GAUGAACGCUAGCGGCAGGCCUAAUACAUGCAAGUCGAACGGGAUCCAGAUCAAAGCUUGCUUUGGUUUGGUGAGAGUGGCGCACGGGUGCGUAACGCGUGAGCAACCUACCCUUGUCAGGGGGAUAGCCCGGCGAAAGUCGGAUUAAUACCGCAUGACAUCAUUGAGAGGCAUCUUUCGAUGAUCAAAGAUUUAUCGGACAAGGAUGGGCUCGCGUGACAUUAGCUAGUUGGUAAGGUAACGGCUUACCAAGGCUACGAUGUCUAGGGGCUCUGAGAGGAGAAUCCCCCACACUGGUACUGAGACACGGACCAGACUGCUACGGGAGGCAGCAGUAAGGAAUAUUGGUCAAUGGACGGAAGUCUGAACCAGCCAUGCCGCGUGCAGGAAGACGGCCCUAUGGGUUGUAAACUGCUUUUAUACGGGAACAAACGUCGGUACGUGUACCGGUCUGAGUGUACCGUAAGAAUAAGGAUCGGCUAACUCCGUG
rnacentral:rRNA from 1 species